rnacentral:rRNA from 1 species
UCGAGCGGAAACGAAGAGGUGCUUGCACCUCUGGCGUCGAGCGGCGGACGGGUGAGUAAUGCUUGGGAAUAUGCCUUAUGGUGGGGGACAACAGUUGGAAACGACUGCUAAUACCGCAUGAUGUCUACGGACCAAAGUGGGGGACCUUCGGGCCUCACGCCAUAAGAUUAGCCCAAGUGGGAUUAGCUAGUUGGUGAGGUAAUGGCUCACCAAGGCGACGAUCCCUAGCUGGUUUGAGAGGAUGAUCAGCCACACUGGGACUGAGACACGGCCCAGACUCCUACGGGAGGCAGCAGUGGGGAAUAUUGCACAAUGGGCGCAAGCCUGAUGCAGCCAUGCCGCGUGUGUGAAGAAGGCCUUCGGGUUGUAAAGCACUUUCAGUAAGGAGGAAAGGUUAAGUGUUAAUAGCAC